rfam:Tetragenococcus muriaticus 3MR10-3 WGS_Sequence069_034, whole genome shotgun sequence.
GGGGACGUUACGGAUUCGACAGGCAUAGAUCGAGCUUGAAUUGCAUUUCGUAGGUUGCGUCUACGUAAAAACGCUCAGUUAAAUAUAACUGCUAAAAACAAUAACAAUUCUUACGCUUUAGCUGCGUAAAAACAGCUAGCGUAGAUCCUCUCGGCAUCGCCCAUGUGUCGAAUCAGGGUCUCAACUUUAGUGGGAUACGCAUUGACUUUCCGUCUGGAAGUCAAUGAAGAGAUGAUCAGACUAGCUUUAUAAACGGCUUGUCGCAUAGCGGUUUAUAAAGCGAAUUUAAAUUUAUGUGACUAUGAGUGUAGAUAUUCAAGCGGCGAUAUGUCUGGACGCGGGUUCAACUCCCGCCGUCUCCAUAU